GACGAACGCUGGCGGCGUGCUUAACACAUGCAAGUCGAACGGAAAGGCCUGCUUUCCCUUGUGGAUUGCGGGUACUCGAGUGGCGAACGGGUGAGUAACACGUGAGUGAUCUGCCCCCAACUUGGGUAUAAGCCUGGGAAACUGGGUCUAAUUCCCGAUAGGACUGCAGGGUGGUGCCUGUGGUGGAAAACGAUUUUCUAGUGGUUGGGGAUGAGCUCGCGGGCUAUCAGCUUGUUGGUGGGGUAAUGGCCUACCAAGGCGGCGACGGGUAGCCGGCCUGGGAAGGUGGACGACCACAUUUGGACUGAGGUACGGCCCAGACUCCAACGGGAGGCAGCAGUGGGGAAGAUUGCACAAUGGGCGGAAGCCUGAUGCAGCGACGCCGCGUGGGGGAUGACGGCCUUCGGGUUGUAAACUCCUUUCGACCGCGAGGAAGCCACCUGGUUGGAAGGGUGGUGACGGUAGUGGUAGAAGAAGCACCGGCUAGCUACGUG
rnacentral:rRNA from 1 species